UGUUACUCAGCCCUUCACUGACUACCCUCAUCCACACUGGUGCCGUGUACCCAAGGCUCAGUUCCUGCUAACGUGGACACACAACACAUGCCUACAAAUGCCACCUUGACUGUGUGCAAAGCAGCCAUUAUCACUGUGGCUUUUGCACAAAAGUCUUUGUGAAAAUGUUUUGUCCGUCAGUUUAAAACCUGCUGCAAGACGGCAACCACAAAUAUUACUGCAACUUUGGCAUCCACAGUGACUCCAGCGUCCACUCCAGCAUCCAUGGUGACUCGGCGUCCACAGCAGACCAUCAGAAAAAAAAUUAUACAAACAAAAACAGACAUGUUUUUGCUUGCAGUUAUGGGAGGAAGUUUGCUCACUUUACCAAGCAAGGCAGAGCAACACUCUAUGACGACCCACCGCCUGUCCUCAGGAUCAGCCGCGAAAGAAGGCGCUCAGGCUGCACUGUGGUCAGUAAUACAUGCUACAUGGAUUGUUACAAAAACUGAGUAACGGAAAUUAACUUGUUAUUUUGUUAGUAGAUGUGUCUCAUGAGGAUUAUUUAUUCUUAUUAUUAUUUUACGUCAUGUUCAUGGGUGUCUUUAGUCUGUUGGCUAUUUGAUCUACUUCCUUGGAGACUGUUUUAUUUGAUUCGGGAAUGGUUGUUCAUCUGUCCUAAUAAACUUUGGAAAUGG